UUGCAAUCUUUUUUUUGCAGACAAGGCAUUAAAUGUUACGCGGGACAGGAGUGACGGUCCGCUAGUUCAUCCUAAAAUAUGAGUCACGGCGCCGAGGCAUUUUGUUUAAUAUUUUUUGUGCAUUCAAUUAAAGUCUAUUACGUGAUAAGAGUGUCAUUUCGAGCAUCUUAAAUAGUAGAACAACGAAAAAUAAGGUGCGGCAGGCGAUCCGUUCAUAUGGGCAUGAGUCGAGGCGCCUGGGCAUUUCGCUUAAUAUUAGAACUAGAAGCAGAGGUGAGGUUCUCGCAC
rnacentral:lncRNA from 1 species